UGAGCAGACUGUGUGAUAGCACAGCGGUUUCGCUGUGAGGAAAGUCCGAGCACCAUAGGACAGGAUAGCUGCUAACGGCAGCCGGGGGCGACCCUAGAGCCAGUGCAACAGAGAGAUACCGCCGCGGGUUUCCUGCGGUAAGGGUGGAAAGGUGUGGUAAGAGCACACCAGAGUGCAGGAGACUGUACUGCUAUGUAAACCUUAUCCGGUGCAACGUCUAUUGGUACACGCUGUCUUAACAUCGGUCCGGUGGACAGCGGCGUAAUGGCGGCUAGAGCUGUGAGGCGACUCACAGACCAGAUAAAUUAUCACACACGACAGAACUCGGCUUACAGGUCUGGUCAUGGA
rfam:Ruminococcus callidus ATCC 27760 genomic scaffold Scaffold1028, whole genome shotgun sequence.